rnacentral:lncRNA from 1 species
CCCUCGGAUUGCUCUGCAGACUGCUACUGACCAAGCAGAUUAGGAGACUAGCUGUCCGUUGGACUGCCCACUGCAAGCUGAAUUGUAUGUGUUGUGUUGUGCAAAACAAAUUAUUACAAAUUACACCAUGUUAUACAGAAGAAGAGGUCAAAUUGCUGAAGCUAUCAAAAAAGCCAUCUCCUUCAGCUGCGUCAGGGUGUGCUCCAUCGUGUACUCCCGUUGCCAGCUAGACAGCAUCUGGAACUUCUUCCCUUCAACCUGCAUGCAUGCCCAUCAGUUCAAAUGCAUACCACAAAAAAGGCAGCCUAUCACGGAAAACUGUGGAGCUGCAACUUAUCACAGCAAUAGGAAAGGCAUUGAACAGAAAGUCCAGUGUAACAAGAUGAAAUUGACUGAUCUUGCAACUACAGUGUUUAUUCUGCAUGUUCACAGUUAUAACAGGUAACAAAUUCAAAGUAUUUUAGUCAGAAAACAGGUAAUUACAGUCAUAGAAAAGGUUUCCAGGUCCAGAUACUACAAGCAAAAAUUAUGAUGAAGAACCAAACUGGACUUGCUUAACAGAACAUAGAACACAGAUAAAGAGUCGCUAUCUCAUUCUACUCACAACAAGACACCAUUGAUCUAACUAUGAUUAACCACAAAAGGUAGAACAGCCUUCAUGAUAUGCAAAAGCGUAGAACAGCCUGUUGACACCUUGUAACCACAUUUUUCAUAUCGAGUCCCCUCGUCUUAGGGCCAAAGGCAGUUCUUUUUAUUAAAUUUCAAAGCAGCAUGGACAUGCUGAACCUUUCACCUUUAACUUGUUCUGGAGCUCUCUCCAUCAAGUUAAAUUGUUGCCUAUUACUGGCAUCCAAAAUAACAGCAAUUCAGAUUCUCUUGCUCAUGUUAAGAAACUAUGUGCACAACUAAACUUGUUCUGAGCAUCAGUAAGCAAGCACUAGGUUAGUUUUAUCUAAUCCCUCUAGUGCCGAGCAAAUGAAAUCCCACAUUUUCUUUGUACCACUAAUUUCUGAUGAACCAAACACAGUUUGUAUACAGCAGCCAUAUCAACAAUUCGUUCCAGUGGAUUCAGAAUGUCCAAAUCAAGCCCUGAAUCAUGUAGCCUCCAACAGACUCUGAAGCGAUGCAGGGUAUAGGUCUGCUGUUAAGGAUUUCCAAAGUGAUCCAACCCCAAAACAUCACUUAAACCCAAAAGAUCGGAUCUAAUUUACUGAUCAAUCCAACACCCUAGGACGUGGAAACAUCGGAAUCGUAGAUUCACACAUCUCAUGGCGCGGAGGAGAUGAUGCGCACCUGGACCGCCAGCAACCGUGGAGAGCUCGUAUUGCCGCUGGCUUCUUGGAGAGCUUGACAGCCAGCUUCUUGGAGAGCUCGUCCGUUGGUUUCCUCUGCCCGAAGAAUCUGCCGGCUUCCUCUGCCCGAAAAAUCUACCAGCUUCCCUGAUGCGGCGGCGCAAGCGAGGCAGAGGUGGAGGCGUGGCUGCUGCAGCACGAGGGAAGGGAGUCCUAGCGGUGACGGCAGGACCGCGGGAGGGGAGGGGGGAGGGUCUGCUCCUUUGCUUGCGGCCUGGUGCAGUGGCGUGUGGACCUGCCCGACAGCUCGAGUGCUAAUUGGUCUGCAACCCCUGGUUUGGACCCUGAUAACCACCUGAUAAAAUGAAACUAGAAUUAUGUAAACGAUAACUAGUAAGCAAGAAGAUAUACAAACAAUAACUAGUAAGCAAGAAGAUAUGUAAAAGACAUGAGAUACAAUUUCAGCAAGUUGGGAUAAAUGGCUUCAUAUCAUCAUGAACUUGUGAUUGAGAACUAAUGGGAAUUGCUUCUGAUAUUAUGCUUGUUUUUUAGAACAAAUUGAUUCUUCUGUUAAUUAUGUGGAAAAUUCAGUUGUGAGAUGAUAAAUAUCAGAAUUGCUAUUGUAUCAGUGCAUGCUUUAACUUGGGGACUUAUGUGUGAAUACCUACAGUACUGCUGAGCUUUUGUAUCAUGGACUGUAAGGAGGAAAUAAAUAAAAAUUACGUCUGUUCCAUUGUUAGAUGUUUCCUAAACUGUUAACCUAACUAUUUAUUCGAUAAAAAAAACUUGGAACUUUAGCUGCUUCAGACCAUAAAAGUAAAGUCUUGCUUUGCUAAGCCCUCAUUUGUAUGUCUCCAGGGAUAAGAUUGUGAAGCACCUGUGCCACCAUCAUCAUCAGCUUAGCAGGGUCACUUUGAUAUUCCAAGGAAGGGCACCUUGCUAGCCUCCCUGAUUGCCCCCUAACAAUGAAGACGCAUGAGCGAGCUGCCAAUUUGGCUCUUGUUGGUACGUUUCUUGUUCAAUUCAGUCAUCGCUGCCUUCGCAAUCUUUACCUUGAUACCUUCUUCCUUUUCUUUUGAUAAAAAAUGAAAACUUGCUGACCUCUGCGUCCUCUUUUUUUAACAAUAUAUGCAGCUUUGAGUUUGGCACCACUUGUGGUUAAUGUAAACCCAAAUGUGAAUGUGAUAUUGACAGCAUGUCUUACUGUCUAUGUUGGUUGUUACCGUUCUGUCAAGCCAACUCCACCCGCUGUAAGAAAUAUGUUUUUCUUUGCUAAGUAUAUGUAUCUUCUGGGUAUUGCCUUGACAUGAAAAUCAUGAGACUAAUUGAUUUCUUGUGCAUUUUUAUUAUGCAGGAGACAAUGUCCAAGGAGCAUGCUAUGCGUUUCCCCUAAGUGGGAAGUGCUAUGCUUUUGUCAUUGUUCCUUCUAUUCAAGUUUCUUUCAAAAGACUUGGUCAAUGCUGUGCUCACUGCUUACUUCUUCAUUCUUGGCAUUGUUGCUCUCUGGUAAGUCCAAAUUUUCUUGGAAUAUCUUUUGCAAACAUGCAUACACUUAGUACUGUACUUAUGAGCUAAUGAAUGCAUUUGUUCCCUUGUCAUGCGGAGCAACAUUGCUUCCUUCUAUAAAGCAAUUUCUUCCAAAAGAAUGGAAUGAUAAUCUCAUUGUUUGGCGAGCUCCACUUAUCCACUGUAUGAUUUCUUAACUCUCUUUGAGGUUCAUUCUUGUUGGUCCAGUUGUGCAGAUCUUGAUAUGUUUCUGCAUCUUUGUUUUUAAAGAUAUCCUGUUGUGCUAUUUGAUUGUAUCUUCAAUACUGUUGUUAUUGAAAUAAAAAAAUGUGGUGGCGAUACACAAACUAUAUUUUAAAAACUUAUAAAGUUUUUAAUUUUUAUUAUACUCAACGUUUGCUAGUAAAUCAAUAGAAUUUUGACUUAACAUAUUUCCUUCUCAAAUACUCAUUACAUUUCUAUCUUUUUAUUUGUAUUAUUAGUUUACUUUUCGGGUGAUCUCAAGUUUUACUUUGCUAGUUAUUCCUAAAUCCAAACUCAACCAAACCAGCUGCAAGAGUCCAAAGCAAACACGGUUCAAACCAGUCAGUGGUCAUGGACCUCCUUCCUGGAUAGUUGAAAGGCUGAGUUCGACUCCACCUGGGCUCCUCUUUUUUGAGGAUUUGUACUCACUUUUUUUUUUCCUUUUUUCCUUUCGGCGGGUGAGGAGUUUUGCUCACUUUUUUCCGGGGCGGUUCACAGGUGGGGUCACGGUUUUCCUCUGGUUCAGGGGUAGUACAGCCUGGGGAUACGGUUUUCUUUCGGUUCAGGGUUACAGAGGCUAGUUUUUCUCCGGUUUUGCACUCCGUGGUCCGAUUCAUGUGGUGGGAGUCGAUUUUUCUUCUUUUUUUUACCAGUUCUAUGUGACGGACGAAAAUUAGUGGCAAAAACCUUGCUUGCUUUAAUAUUAGGUAGAGAUAUACAAAAGAGGUGAAAUAUCAAUAUAGUAAAAAAGGAGCCCAUCUAGUCCUGCCAUGUUAAUGAAAAGAAAAAUAAAAAUCAGUUCGGAGGUCAAUACUAACAAAAAAAAUUCUCUCUAGAAAACACUCCUUGGCCUUUGGGGUGAGGCGGGCCAUGAGAGCGGCAGUGGCAUUGCCGGCAUUGUUCUCCUCGAUGAAACUGAUAGUGGAGUUGACGAUGAGCAGAGUGAUGAUCCCUACAAAGUUCUGCCAGUCCGGUGGCUUCCCCUGAAAAAUCAGCGAAACACAUUAAACCCUCUGAACCCGCAGCUCCAACAAGACACCCGCUGUGAGAAUCAUUCACUUACUCCUCCGUUGGAGGGCGCGAUGGCCACGAUGGCGGCUGCCUCCAUGACCCAGGACAACGGGUUCCACAUGAAGCCCAGAAACUUGAGCACCUUGCUCCCCGCACAAGCACACGCACACAAAUCCAUCAUGUAACUUCACAUCACACCAUCUGCUAGAUCGAGUAACAAACCGAGUAACGGGAGCAGAAAGGCACGAGGCAAAGGCCGCGGAUUCACCUGCUUCUCCUCCAGCUUGUUUCGCCUGCUCGGUGGAGAGGCCCUGCGGGCUGCAUCGUAGGUUCUCGAACACCUCCUCGAUCGGGAUGUUCUCCUGCGCAGUCACAAGAAAUAUGAUAGGAAGAUGGCACAACUUAUAUCGACACCAUAUUGAAGUCGACAGUACCAGAUUUUUGGAAGGACUCCAAUCAUCCAAUCAAUUGAAAUAUCUUUGUCUGAGAGGCAUCUCUAGAAUCACUGAACUUCCUGCUUCCAUUGGUGGACUCUCAAAUCUCAGGAUCUUGGAUCUUCAUUCUUGUCAUAACCUUGAGAGGCUGACUGCAAGCAUCACGUCUCUUCAGAUGCUCACCCACCUUGAUGUGUCAGAGUGUUACUUGCCGGAAGGCAUGCCGAGGGGUGUUAUCUUGCUUACUGAACUUCAAGUGCUCAAAGGGUUUGUCAUUGGUGGUUCCACUGGCAAUUACAAUUGUCGGGUAACAGAGUUGGCCAGGCUGGACAAAUUGAAGAAGCUGAGUGUAUAUAUUGGAAGCAAAGUUAUAGUGAUAGAAGACGAAUUGAUUGAGCUUGAGAACAUCAAAGGCCUUCGCGUGCUGAAAAUUACAUGGGCUGUAUCACUUUCAAAGAAGGAGCGAGUUCAUCAAACUUAUGAUUCAACAUCAUUGCUAACUUCACUUUCCCUACCUCUAAAUCUUGAAAAGCUAGACCUGCGCUGCUUCCCUGGAGAGAAGAUACCAGAUUGGUUAAGUCCAAGUAAGCUGUUGAGACUGAAGAGACUAUACUUCACCGGAGGAAUGCUAAAUACCUUUGGCGGAAAAAAACAUGUCAGAGGUGUGGAAUGGAUCCAGGUGCGCCUGAAAUUCUUGAAUGAUUUAUCAGUGCAAUGGAUCCAGGUGCUUGACAUAUUAGAUGUAUGAAGCUGAAAUCUUUCCCUUGCGACAAGGAUGGGGUCUGGAUGAACUCUGACAUGCAGGAAGUCAGCAAACCAAGAACAGAAUCGUCCACCUUUUUGGGGGGACACGCAUUGGAGAAAAACAAUCUCGCUGCUCGGGAGCGGCGGAAAACGGCGCGGAUUGGGCGAACGAGUGCGGAUUGAGAAGGCGAGACGAGCACUAAAAAGGUGAAAUGAAAAAAAGAAAAAAAAUGGAGAGAAAUUGAGCGUAACCACAGUGAGAUGCGGCACAAGACUGACACGAACUGGAGGGACUCCAUGGGCCUCCACCCUGCGCCGCCGCAAGCCCCGCCCUCGCCGCCGUCCCCUUUGCCGGCCCUCCCACGCCGCCGCCAGGCGAGAGGCGCAGGCAAGAGGAGAGGGAGCCACGGGCGAGAGGACCGGAAUGGCGCAGACACUGCGCACGCAAAGGACGGGAGUAUACGAAAUAAGCAAGCUCACAACCGAAGCACGGGCCUAUUAUUAAAGCCAUGGUGUUUUUGGAGCAGCAAUCAGCAACAGAAACACAGCUCAAUGCAGAGACAAAGCAGGCAUCAACAGAAAAGCAAGCAACAAUACCAAAUAAGCAAGCAACCGCCAUUCCAGGUAGGAUAAGGUUCACGUUCUAAGAACUUGAUGACAAGUCACUGGACCACACUACUACUCAUAGUAUACGAGGGAGACCAACAAAAUCUCAAGUUUUGUCACCACUGUAGAACACCAAGAUUAUUUACUUUUGUUUUCCAAACACUAUCAUAUCCUCUGCAGUAAAUCUCGCUGCCGGCUUGGCCACAUCUGGAGUCUUAGCCUGCAACCUGUGGAAAAGAGAACCAAAGAGUGAGCGACUAGCAGCCAAACCAAAGUCAGAUCUCAGUAUUCAGGAACAAGCAACUCAACUCUUAAUGAAAAAAUGUGGAAUAAUUGAGAACACUAAGAAGGUAGAACCUGAAGCUUAGGAAAAGUUCAGAAAACAGUUCAUUAACCCGAUGCUGGAUAAAACAGUGAAGAAUCUGCGUCAAGCCUUUGGCCUAAAUGGGCCUGAGGGAUUGGGGGACUAUAGACCGAUCAGUUUGACAAGCAGCAUAUCAAAGAUCAUCUCAAAACUUUUGGCAAACAGGCUGUCACUGCACAUCAACCAACUGGUCUCCAUAAACCAGAGUGCCUUCAUUAGGAAAGGCAUUGAACAGAAAGUCCAGUGUAACAAGAUAAAAUUGACUGAUCUUGCAACUAUAGUGUUUAUUUUGCAUGUUCACAGUUAUAACAGUUAACAAAUUCAAAGUAUUUUAGUCAGAAAACAGGUAAUUACAGUCAUAAAAAAGGUUUCCAGGUCCAGAUACUACAAGCAAAAAUUAUGAUGAAGAACCAAACUGGACUUGCUUAACAGAACAUAGGAUCGUGUCGUUCGUCAUCGAAAUGGAACUUACUCGCUCGGGAACAGGCACAGGAUUGAGGAACUUUCAGGCGUAACACACCCGUAAUGGGGCAAUCUGACUAGCUGGUCAAAACCCUUUCCGCAGUGAGCUUUCAAACUUUCUUUAGAACUUGCUUCACAGGCUUGGAGGCAUUUUAACACCCUCCCGUAGGCUCACUUUGUUUCAGGCCUUUCCUUUCUCUCCUAAGAUCCCAUCCCAACCAACAAACGAGAGUCUGAUGGGGAUUCUACUUGAACGUUAACUAGACCUGCGCCCGUAUUAGCUUACCGGAAAACUAACUAAGGGGAAACUCAAAGGAAUUAAGCCAACUUCAAGCUAUAAAGAUAUUUCUAUUGAGGCUAAACUUAUCUGCCUUUCCUGGUACUUCAAAGUCAAAUACCACUGCUGCUACAUACAGGAGAAGAUAGAUGCUAGAGGACAGAUACAAGGACGGGGUCAUUGCAAAGAAAAAGAGCCAGAGGUGAGUGAGCCUACGACCACCAAUUGCUUAUCCCCAAUUACCAAUUGCAGCAGACUUGGACUAAAGGAAUUGCUUGAAGUGAAGACCAGUGAACAAAAGGCUUUACACAACAGAAUUGUUGACCUCUUUCGUUUCGGGAUAAGGCCUGGAAGAAGCAGGGAUUGAACCAGGGCUUGUUCACAGAGCAAAUAUCAAAAGCCUAUGUUGUAUUCAUAUAACUGCAUGUGUAUGUAACCCAUUUGUUUUUAUCCCUCACUAUUUUUGUGCCUUUUCUGGUCAGAAAUCCCAAGUUGACACACUUGCUGCAAGAUUCUCUAGGUAAGAUGAUCUGCUUGCUCAAGGAAAACCAUUUCCAUGAUUAAAGUAACAUUUUCCUAUAUUUAUUUUUCCACUUAGCCAUAUGAUUAAUUUUCUCUGUUCCUUUUGACACUGAUAAUAGGAGA